rnacentral:rRNA from 1 species
UACGUAGGGUGCAAGCGUUGUCCGGAUUUAUUGGGUUUAAAGGGUGCGUAGGCGGCCCGUUAAGUCAGUGGUGAAAGCCUCCAGCUCAACUGGAGAACUGCCAUUGAUACUGGCGGGCUUGAGUACAGACGAGGUUGGCGGAAUUGAUUGUGUAGCGGUGAAAUGCAUAGAUACAAUCAAGAACACCGAUUGCGUAGGCAGCUAACUAGGCUGUAACUGACGCUGAGGCACGAAAGCGUGGGGAGCGAACAGG